GAUCACUUAACCACAUGGCACAUUUUAAUUUGACUAGAGAGCUUGGUAACGAAGAAUUUUGUGAUCAAUUUCUCUAUACUAGACUUGCCUCUUUCACUCUCCAUUAUAGUAUGAUGGUUUAAAUUUUAAAUUCAAAUGUCUUGAUUCUGUAAUUGAAUGUCUUCACUUGAUUUCAUUUGGAGUUGGCAAACAAAAUAAAAGAGAGUAACUAAGUAGACUUGUUCUCCAACAAAUAUUCUUGGAUACCCACAACGAAUUUUUCUUUGUUAUUCAUUGCCAUUUCCUUGAGCAACGGUUGCACCAAUUGAAAAACAAACAUCUCCAAAAGGUUAGAUAUUCAUCAAGGAACAAACUGUAUUUUUUUACUAUCAGUAGAUUCCACGUCAAGGGCUCUCAUGCACCUGUUCUUCCAUGACACUUGUUCUUCAUGCACCUCCACUUCACCGAUACAUUUGAUCCAUCGUCGCUACCACUGACUUCACACACCAAACCGAAAUGUUCUGCUAGUAAAGUCAGGAUAUGAUCUCUAUUUGUCCCCCAGGUGCGUAGAUCCUUUGAAAUAUAGAUUUAAAGUCUCUGGUAUACUUGUUGUCAAACAAAAUCGAAUCACUUCAACCUCCAAUCCGACGUUUAGAUUUAACACUUCUUAUUACUAACCUAACUCUGGUACCAUUUGUAGAGUUAGAAUAACAAUAAUUAUUACAACUACAAUGCGAAAAAUAAACUCUUAAAGUGCAACAAACCGAUUCAAAUCUUCUUCAACGUCACCAUCGAUGUGUCCUAUGAUAUUGAGCUCAAAUUUGUGCCACAAGAAGCCAAUAUGUUUCGAUCCACUAGAG
rnacentral:lncRNA from 1 species